UUUCGCCAAAACCGCAUGUUUUCCGACGAUCUUUCUUUUUUUUAAGACUUGACAAGAGGAAAGGUGUUCCGUGAAUCUGAGAUCUUCAAAGAUGGCUGAAAUCCGUGAAUUCUCCGUUGAAUAUGGAUACAUACGGAAAUGCCGUCGUUCGCGACAUCGCAUGCAUAUAUGUUGGUCGAUUCUCCGUAUAAUGAAUGGCCACGCACUCGGAACGCUCGGAACUGACGGAAGCCAGCAAUGAAUAUUUAUCCAAGGAAAACUCAUCGCAUCGCAUCUGAUUUUCACUGUGUAUUUAUUUUGUAAAGCAAUAAUAAAAAUUGUGUUGAUAAAAUAAAAAGUAAAUAAAAA